GAAAAGUCUGGAAAGGGACAGGUGUGGCUGGAAUGAUUGGCUCCCUGUCUCUGGGAGCCAGAACAAAGCAGUGCCUGGCUCACCAACACUUCCCAGGGGCGUUGGAGGGUUUCAUUUCUUCCCAACGCUUUUCAGGGACAAUUCUUGGUGAGCCAGGUGGGACAAUGCUGUCGACCCUCCAGGGAUUCCGGGACCCUGAGGACUCCAGCGAGCAGUGAAAAUAUUCUUCUGGGAGAUCUCAGUCCCUGGAUCUGGGAUCCUGAGGAGGGUGAAGCCCUUCUGUGCAGGACUUGGAGAUGGUCCUUGGCCUGUCCAAAUGCAUUAAAUGCUGCUGCUGAAGGAGCCCCCCCAGUGAUUUUAUCUGCAUUAAACCCCUGGAGCCCACGGGCACCUGCUCCUGCCUGGACAGUAACCAGGAGUUUCCUUGGACUGGUGUCCCCCAGGAAGGACGUUUUCCCCCCUGUUUCUGAGGCUUUUAAUAGUCUUUGAUCAAUAAAUAUUUCUCCAUGGGA